rnacentral:rRNA from 1 species
UACGGAGGAUGCAAGCGUUAUCCGGAAUUAUUGGGCGUAAAGCGUCCGUAGGUGGUUUAUCAAGUCAGUGGUUAAAGCGUGGAGCUUAACUCCAUAAAGGCCAUUGAAACUGGUAGGCUAGAGUGCGGUAGGGGUAGAGGGAAUUUCCAGUGUAGCGGUGAAAUGCGUAGAUAUUGGAAAGAACACCGGUGGCGAAAGCGCUCUACUGGACCUGCACUGACACUGAGGGACGAAAGCUAGGGGAGCGAAAGGG